rnacentral:sRNA from 2 species
GGCAAACCAGUACACUUCUUAACCUAUGCCGGCUCUUACAAAAUUGACGAUCACCUGCCUGAGAGGUGACAUUUUUUGGUCAACUUAUAAAAGUUAGCAUUUCAAGAAACACGAUCCCGUUUCAAAGCAGCUUUGAUAGAGGAGGAGGCCUUAACUAAAAGGCGUGAGUGUAAGUGGAAGGUUCGGGCUGAGUCAGAGGGCCCGACGAUGACAGGAACAAUUGGUGAUGUUGGUGAUGAUAGAUAUCUACACGAGUGGCGAUGAGCUUUAAUUGUUUGAUGCCAGGUUCUCAUUCUGAAAACUUUUCCUCAUCGGGAUUAUCGAGGGCCGGGGAACUGGUCGGCGCCAAAGGAUCCUCCGUGUCGGGGGGUGGCAUUUUGUAGCGGUAGCUGUAACAAUAACUGGCGUUGGGGUAUGGCAAGGUAGGAUAAAUUCUAGGCUAAACUAUGGACACGGUAUCUUGUACGAAGCACCUGUGAAGGGCGA